CCAAUCACAGACUUUGUUGUCACCUUGUCAUAAGAUGUCACACAACUAACUGGAAGUCAAUUUGUGAUUCUCAGUUUCAUACCGAAGCCUACGGGGCGAGUGAACACGUCUGUGAGGCAGAAAUAUUAUGUUCUUGUUUGUUUUGUGAAUUGACAUUUAUGGAAAGUAAAUCGUUCACCAUGAAACAAGUGUUAGACGCGACUUUGAAGAGCAGUGAGGAUGAAGGAGAUUAUUUGGUCCAGUUUAUUCAAGGACAUCAAGGGAGAGAGAGGUAUCGCAACUGCUCCGCCCACAACCGCAAGGCUCUCCAGAGGGUAGUGCGGUCUGCACAACGCAUCACCAGUGGCAAGCUACCUGCCCCCCAGGACACCUACAGCACCCGAUAUCACAGGAAGGCCAAAAAGAUCAUCAAGGACAACAACCACCCGAGCCACUGCCUGUUCACCCUGCUAUCAUCCAGAAGGCGAGGUCAGUACAGGUGCAUCAAACUUGGGCCAAGAGACUGAAAAGCAGCUUCUAUCUCAAGGCCAUCACACUGUGCUCAGUAAUGUUUGUACCAUGUUUUGUGCUGCUACCAUGUGCUGCUGCCAUGUUGUGUUGCUGCCAUGUUGUUGUCAUGUUGUGUUGCUACCAUGCUGUGUUGUCAUGUGUUGCUGCCUUGCUAUGUUGUUGUCUAAGGUCUCUCUUUAGGGAGUGUUCUGUUGUAUCUCUUAUGUGCGUUUUGUCCUAUAUUGUAUUUAUUUUUUAAUCCCAGCUUCCGUCCCCACUGGAGGCCUUUUGCCUUUUGGUAGGUCGUCAUUGUUAAUAAGAAUUUGUUCUUAACUGACUUGCCUAGUUAAAUACAAAAAUAGAGUUAACUGCACCUCAGAUUGCAGCCCAAAUAAAUACUUCACAGAGUUCAAGUAACAGACAUCUCAAAAUCAACUGUUCAGAGGAGACUGCAUGAAUCAGGCCUUCAUGGUCGAAUUGCUGCAAAGAAACCACUACUAAAGGACACCAAUAAUAAGAAGAGACUUGCUUGGGCCAAGAAACACGAGCAAUGGACAUUAGACCAGUGGAAAUCUGUCCUUUGAUCUGAUGAGUCCAAAUUUGAGAUUUUUGCUUCCAACUGCCGUGUCUUUGUGAAAUGCAGAGUAGGUGAACGGAUGAUCUCUGCAUGAGUGGUUUCCAUCGUGAAGCAUGGAAGGAGGAGGUGUGAUUGUAUGGGGGUGCUUUGCUGGUGACACUGUAUGUGAUUUAUUUAGAAUUUAGGGCACACUUAACCAGCAUGGCUACCACAGCAUGCUGCAGCGAUACGCAAUCCCAUAUGGUUUGCACUUAGUGGGACUAUCAUUUGUUUUUCAAUAGGACAAUGACCCAACACACCUCCAGGCUGUGUAAGGGCUAUUUGACCAGAAGGAGAGUGACGGUGCUGCAUCAGAUGACUUGGCCUCCACAAUCAACCGACCUCAACCAAAUUGGGCUGAGUUGGACUGCAGAGUGAAGGAAAAGCAGCCAACAAGUGCUCAGCAUAUGGUGGAACUCCUUCAAAACUGUUGGAAAAACAUUCCUCAUGAAUCUGGUUGAGAGAAUGCCAAGAGUGUACAAAGUACUCACUUAUUCCGAAUUUUGUUACAUUACAGCCUUAUUAUAAAAUGUAUUAAAAUUGUUUUUUUCCCCCUUGUCAAUCUACACAAAAUAACCCAUAAUGACAAAUCAAAAACAGGUUUCACAUUUACAUGAGUAUUCAGACCCUUUAGUCAGUACUUUGUUGAAGCACCUUUGGCAGUGAUUACAGCAUCUGGUCUUUUUGGGAAUGAUGCCACAAACUUGGCACACCUAUAUUUGCGUAGUUUCUCCCAUUCUUCUCUGCAGAUGUUCUCAAGCUCUGUCAGGUUGGAUGGGGAGGGUUUCUGCACAGCUAUUUUCAGGUCUCUCCAGAGUCGUUCAAUCAGGUUCAACUCCAGGCCCUGGUUGGUUUAGUCAAGGACAUUCAGAGACUUGUCCCGAAGCCACUCCUGCAUUGUCUUGGCUGUGUACUUAGGGUCGGUGUCCUUUUGGAAGGUGAACCUUCACCCCAGUCUGAGGUCCUGAGCAGAUUUUCAUCAAGGAUCUCUCUGUGCUUUGCUCCGUUCAUCUUUCCCAGAAUCCUGACUAGUCUCCCAGUCCCUGCCGCUGAAAAACAUCCCCACAGCAUGAUGCUGCCACCACCAUGCUUCACCAUAGGGAUGGUGACAGGUUUCCUCCAGACGUGACGCUUGGCUUUCAGGCCAAAUAAUUCAGUCUUGGUUUCAUCAAAUUAGAGAAUCUUGUUUCUCAUUGUCUGGGUCUUUACGUGCCUUUUGGGAAACUCCAAGUGGGCUGUCAUGUGCCUUUUACUGAAGAGUGUCUUCUGUCUGGCCACUCUACCAUAGAGGCCUGAUUGGUGGAGUGCUGCAGAGAUGGUUGUCCUUCUGGAAGGUUCUCCUAUCUCCACAGAAGAACUCUAGAGCUCUGUCAGAGAGACCAUCAGGUACUUGGUCACUUCCCUGACCAAGGCCCUUCUCCCCCGAUUGCUCAGUUUGGCCGGGUGGCCAGUUCUAGGAAGCGUCUUGGUGGUUCCAAACUUCUUCCGUUUAAGAAUGAAGGAGGCCACUGUGUUCUUGGGGACCUUUAAUGCUGAAUUUUUUUUACCCUUCCCCAGAUCUGUGCCUUGACACAAUCCUGUCUCAGAGCUCUACGGACAAUUCCUGACCUCAUGGCUUGGUUUUUGCUCUGACAUGCACUGUCAAAUGUGAGACCUUAUAUAGACACAGCCUUUCCAAAUCAUGUCCAAUCAAUUGAAUUUACCACAGGUGGACUCCAAUCAAGUUGUAGAAACAUUUCAAGGAUGAUCAAUGGAAACAGGAUUCAGCUGAGCUCCAUUUCAAGUCUCACGUCAAAGGGUUUGAAUACUUAUGUAAUAUAUAUAUUUUUUAUACAUUUGCAAAAAAAUCUAACAACCUGUUUUCACUUAGUCAUUUUCAUGAAAUUGUGUGUAGAUUUGAGGAUUUAUUUAAAUUUAUACAAUUUUAGAAUAAGACUAACGUAACAAAAUGUGGAAAAAGUCCAAAAGGUCUGAAUACUUUUCGAAGGCAUUGUGUCUAUAGAUAGUUUAUUUAUUUGUAUAGUUUAGAAAUAUUUUUUUAACUCUAUUUUCUUACAACUGCAUUGUUGGUUAAGGGCUUGUAAGUAAGCAUUUCACAGUAAGUCCUACACCUGCAUUCGGCGCAUUCCAUAGGAAAAUAUCUGUUGCUCACUCGGAUAUCCUUCAGAUCUUUUGACACUACCUAGAGCUUCUCAAUUUUGAAUCAUUCUAUGACCGUUUGUGUCUGGUUUAUUGUUCUUAAAGGCCCCUUAGGCGAAAUAUUGAGAUGAAGUUAAAGACUUCUAUGAGACAUAUAUAGAACACAUGAAAUUGAAUUGCGAUGAUGGUUUUAGCAGUAUUUGAGAAGUAUGAUCAGCAGAGGAGGUCUCAUCAUUGUAUACCUUUGAGCUCAUUCUUGCCUCUUAUUUUAAAGGAGCAAUAAUAAGUUCCUGAGACAAGUUUGAGACUUUUAUUAGACAAAUGAUCUUAGUCUGAGGUGAUCAUUUCAGAAAUAUCUAAGAAGUAUGAGCCAUAAAGGAGAUAUCUACAUUUUAUGUGCAACGUCUCCUUGUCUCAUUUAUGUAUCUUAAAAUUACCACAGAAGCUAUGCAUGAGCUUGAUUAAUGAGAUGAGAAACAAUUGAGAAUUUAAUUUGUUAUAAUUAAUACUGCAAAUUAAUGGUGAUUACCUGUUAAAAACAAGAAUGAAAACUGAUAGUGUUCAACAAAUGUAUUCAACAGUGCUUAAUAUAUUUACAAAGCAUAUCACUUUUCAUUCCCAGCACAGCUUGGGUUCCAUUAACUCUAAGAACGUAAAAAAAAUGAAUAUUUAGCAUAUACCCUUGUACCUGAUUUGAAACAUUAGGUAAACCCCAAAACAAUAUUGUAGAGAUGAAAAUAGGCAGUUGUCACCCACCAGAUGUAGUGAACAUAAAGUCUAACCUACAUGUGACACCAGUAAGCCCAUAACAGUAUGUUCUUAAAUUAACCUUAUUUCAAAUAUGAACAUUGCACAUUGUACACAAACAAAAAUAUUUUAGAACAGUCACUAUGACCUGCUCUGCUCCUACACUUGAUGAAAGCCUUCUUCAGUUUGGCUUCAUCGAUUCCGGUCCAACCAUCCAAGGUAGCACAUCGCAAGACGUAGGCCGGAAUAAAGUAUAUAAAACAUUUAAUGAAUAUUUGACAAAUAACACAUAAAUAACACAUGACAAUUCUACUCAAGGACUCACAGUAUGCAAAACACAUAUGUCUUAAAAGGACAUUGGGUAUUUUGGUUU
rnacentral:lncRNA from 8 species